rnacentral:rRNA from 1 species
GCCGCGGUGAAUACGUUCCCGGGCCUUGUACACACCGCCCGUCACACCAUGGGAGUCUGCAAUGCCCAAAGCCGGUGGCCUAACCUUCGGGAAGGAGCCGUCUAAGGCAGGGCAGAUGACUGGGGUGAAGUCGUAACAAGGUAGCCGUAGGAGAACCUGCGGCUGGAUCACCUCCUUUCUAAGGAA